rnacentral:rRNA from 1 species
GACGAACGCUGGCGGCGCGCCUAACACAUGCAAGUCGAACGGAGCUGAGAGAAGCUUGCUUUUCUUAGCUUAGUGGUGAACGGGUGAGUAACGCGUGAGUAACCUGCCCUGGAGUGGGGGACAACAGUUGGAAACGACUGCUAAUACCGCAUAAGCCCACGAUCCGGCAUCGGAUUGAGGGAAAAGGAUUUAUUCGCUUCAGGAUGGACUCGCGUCCAAUUAGCUAGUUGGUGAGGUAACGGCCCACCAAGGCGACGAUUGGUAGCCGGACUGAGAGGUUGAACGGCCACAUUGGGACUGAGACACGGCCCAGACUCCUACGGGAGGCAGCAGUGGGGGAUAUUGCACAAUGGGGGAAACCCUGAUGCAGCGACGCCGCGUGGAGGAAGAAGGUUUUCGGAUUGUAAACUCCUGUCGUUAGGGACGAUAAUGACGGUACCUAACAAGAAAGCACCGGCUAACUACGUG